CGAGUCUUAACUGGGCGAAUAAGUUGCAGGGUAUAGACCCGAAACCCGGUGAUCUAGCCAUGGGCAGGUUGAAGGUUGGGUAACACUAACUGGAGGACCGAACCGACUAAUGUUGAAAAAUUAGCGGAUGACUUGUGGCUGGGGGUGAAAGGCCAAUCAAACCGGGAGAUAGCUGGUUCUCCCCGAAAGCUAUUUAGGUAGCGCCUCGUGAACUCAUCUUCGGGGGUAGAGCACUGUUUCGACUAGGGGGUCAUCCCGACUUACCAACUCGAUGCAAACUACGAAUACCGAAGAAUGUUAUCACGGGAGACACACGGCGGGUGCUAACGUUCGUCGUGAAGAGGGAAACAACCCAGACCGCCAGCUAAGGUCCCAAAGUCAUAGUUAAGUGGGAAACGAAGUGGGAAGGCUCAGACAGCCAGGAUGUUGGCUUAGAAGCAGCCAUCAUUUAAAGAAAGCGUAAUAGCUCACUGGUCGAGUCGGCCUGCGCGGAAGAUGUAACGGGGCUAAACUAUGCACCGAAGCUGCGGCAGCGAUAUGUAAAUAUUGUUGGGUAGGGGAGCGUUCUGUAAGCCUGUGAAGGUGUGCUGUGAGGCAUGCUGGAGGUAUCAGAAGUGCGAAUGCUGACAUAAGUAACGAUAAUGCGGGUGAAAAACCCGCACGCCGGAAGACCAAGGGUUCCUGUCCAACGUUAAUCGGGGCAGGGUGAGUCGACCCCUAAGGCGAGGCAGAAAUGCGUAGUCGAUGGGAAACGGGUUAAUAUUCCCGUACUGGUGAUAAUUGCGAUGGGGGGACGGAGAAGGCUAGGCUAUCCGGGCGACGGUUGUCCCGGUUUAAGAAUGUAGGCAGGUGAAUUAGGCAAAUCCGGUUCACUACAUGCUGAGGUUCGAUGACGAGUCACUACGGUGAUGAAGUAGCUCAUGCCCCGCUUCCAGGAAAAGCCUCUAAGCUCUAGAUUAUCAUUAAUCGUACCCCAAACCGACACAGGUGGUCAGGUAGAGAAUACUCAGGCGCUUGAGAGAACUCGGGUGAAGGAACUAGGCAAAAUGGUGCCGUAACUUCGGGAGAAGGCACGCUGGCAUUAGGUGAAGUGAUUUACUCAUGGAGCUGAAGCCAGUCGCAGAUACCAGCUGGC
rnacentral:rRNA from 1 species